UAACACAUGCAAGUCGAGCGGAUGAAGGGAGCUUGCUCCUGGAUUCAGCGGCGGACGGAUGAGUAAUGCCUAGGAAUCUGCCUGGUAGUGGGGGAUAACGUUCCGAAAGGAACGCUAAUACCGCGUACGUCCUACGGGAGAAAGCAGGGGACCUUCGGGCCUUGCGCUAUCAGAUGAGCCUAGGUCGGAUUAGCUAGUUGGUGAGGUAAUGGCUCACCAAGGCGACGAUCCGUAACUGGUCUGAGAGGAUGAUCAGUCACACUGGAACUGAGACACGGUCCAGACUCCUACGGGAGGCAGCAGUGGGGAAUAUUGGACAAUGGGCGAAAGCCUGAUCCAGCCAUGCCGCGUGUGUGAAGAAGGUCUUCGGAUUGUAAAGCACUUUAAGUUGGGAGGAAGGGCUGUAGGCUAAUAUCCUGCGGUUUUGACGUUACCAACAGAAUAAGCACCGGCUAACUUCGUGCCAGCAGCCGCGGUAAUACGAAGGGUGCAAGCGUUAAUCGGAAUUACUGGGCGUAAAGCGCGCGUAGGUGGUUCGUUAAGUUGGAUGUGAAAGCCCCGGGCUCAACCUGGGAACUGCAUCCAAAACUGGCGAGCUAGAGUACGGUAGAGGGUAGUGGAAUUUCCUGUGUAGCGGUGAAAUGCGUAGAUAUAGGAAGGAACACCAGUGGCGAAGGCGACUACCUGGACUGAUACUGACACUGAGGUGCG
rnacentral:rRNA from 1 species